GAUGAAGAACGUAGCGAAAUGCGAUACUUGGUGUGAAUUACAGAAUCCCGUGAACCAUCGAGUCUUUGAACGCAAGUUGCGCCCGAAGCCAUUAGGCCGAGGGCACGCCUGCCUGGGCGUCACACGUCGUUGCCCCCCCAUCUACUCCUUCGGGAUUGCGGGGGGCGGAUGAUGGCCUCUCGUGCGCCUCGUCGCGCGGUUGGCCUAAAUGCCAAGUCCUCGGCGACGCACGCCACGACAAUCGGUGGUUGCGAAACCUCGGUUGCCUGUCGUGUGCGGUCGUCGCGCAUCGAGGGCUCGAAAAAAUUGCCGGGCUUCGGCUCGACUUUCAACGCGACCCCAGGUCAGGCGGGGUUACCCGCUGAAUUUAAGCAUAUCAAUAAGCGGAGGA
rnacentral:misc_RNA from 1 species